GGGGGGACCUACUGUCCUCCCCCCCGGCCCCCACCCGUGGGCGGCGGGUGGGGGCCACAAAGAUAAUGAGGGGGGGACCUACUGUCCUCCCCCCCGGCCCCCACCCCUGGGUGGCGGGUGGGGGCCACAAAGAUAAUGAGGGGGCGACCUACUGUCCUCCCCCCCCGGCCCCCACCCCUGGGCUGCGGGUGGGGGCCCUAAGCAAAUCCCUCCCCC